AACGCUAGCUACAGGCUUAACACAUGCAAGUCGAGGGGUAGCAGGGUAGCAAUACCGCUGACGACCGGCGCACGGGUGAGUAACACGUAUCCAACCUACCAUUCACACGGGGAUAGCCUUUCGAAAGAAAGAUUAAUACCCGAUAGUAUAGCGAUAAGGCAUCUUAUUGUUAUUAAAGAAUUUCGGUGUUUGAUGGGGAUGCGUUCCAUUAGAUUGUUGGUGAGGUAACGGCUCACCAAGUCUUCGAUGGAUAGGGGUUCUGAGAGGAAGGUCCCCCACAUUGGAACUGAGACACGGUCCAAACUCCUACGGGAGGCAGCAGUGAGGAAUAUUGGUCAAUGGACGAGAGUCUGAACCAGCCAAGUAGCGUGAAGGAUGAAGGCCCUAUGGGUCGUAAACUUCUUUUAUAGGGGAAUAAAGUGCGGAACGUGUUCCGCUUUGUAUGUACCCUACGAAUAAGGAUCGGCUAACUCCGUGCCAGCAGCCGCGGUAAUACGGAGGAUCCGAGCGUUAUCCGGAUUUAUUGGGUUUAAAGGGAGCGUAGGUGGAUAUAUAAGUCAGUUGUGAAAGUUUGCGGCUCAACCGUAAAAUUGCAGUUGAUACUGUAUGUCUUGAGUGUACAAGAGGUGGGCGGAAUUCGUGGUGUAGCGGUGAAAUGCUUAGAUAUCACGAAGAACUCCGAUUG
rnacentral:rRNA from 1 species